rnacentral:rRNA from 1 species
AAUUUUUAUGGAGAGUUUGAUCCUGGCUCAGGACGAACGCUGGCGGCAUGGAUUAGGCAUGCAAGUCGAACGGAUGUAGCAAUACAUUAGUGGCGAAAGGGUGAGGAACGCGUGAGUAACUU